UACGAAGGGGGCUAGCGUUGUUCGGAAUCACUGGGCGUAAAGCGCACGUAGGCGGAUCUUUAAGUCAGGGGGUGAAAUCCCGGGGCUCAACCUCGGAACUGCCUUUGAUACUGGGGAUCUCGAGUCCGGGAGAGGUGAGUGGAACUGCGAGUGUAGAGGUGAAAUUCGUAGAUAUUCGCAAGAACACCAGUGGCGAAGGCGGCUCACUGGCCCGGAACUGACACUGAGGUGCGAAAGCGUGGGGAGCAAACAGG
rnacentral:rRNA from 1 species